rnacentral:tRNA from 1 species
GCGGGUAUAGUAUAACGGCCAUUACUACUGGUUUCCAACCAGUAGAUAGGAGUUCGACUCUCCUUACCCGCU